AUACGUAGGGAGCGAGCGUUGUCCGGAAUUACUGGGCGUAAAGGGCGCGUAGGCGGCGCUUCAAGUCGUCUGUCAAAUGGGAGGGCUUAACCCUUUUUCGCAGACGAAACUGGAGAGCUUGAGAAACAGAGAGGCAAACAGAAUUCCUGGUGUAGCGGUGAAAUGCGUAGAUAUCAGGAAGAAUACCAGUGGCGAAGGCGGUUUGCUGGCUGCAUACUGACGCUGAAGCGCGAAAGCCAGGGGAGCAAACGGGAUUAGAUACCCCGGUAGUCCUGGCAGUAAACGAUGUAUGCUGGGUGUGAGACUAGCGAUAGUUUCGUGCCGAAGUUAACGCGAUAAGCAUACCGCCUGGGGAGUACGGUCGCAAGAUUGAAACUCAAAUGAAUUGACGGGG
rnacentral:rRNA from 1 species